GUAAGGCUAGACCAAACCUGUAUAUGCUUACUGCCUAAUGGCCCAUCGAACAAUGGAAGAGAAAAUAUAUAAGUGGCAGGUGGGUUGCAGGUUACCAUAAACAUGAAGCUCUCCUCCAAGAAAACGAAGACUUACAAAGGGUGAACAAGACAUGGCCUUGUCAAACUGGGAGGCUUUGAGGAAAACAUUUAAACACCAACCAGAGCAUGAUAGCUUGGAUAAGGUUUGGAAAACAUUUAAACACCAACAGAGUGUAUGAUGGUUUUGAUAAGGUUUCCAUCCGGGGUCAUGUUUUUUUUUUGUGUUGGCCAAAACUGAUUUUUUUUUAAUAUCUUGUUUAUUUGCUUGAGGUCGAGUAGGUCAACUCAGCUCUAUCUGCAACGAGGUGUCCCAUCCAAUCAGGAUGAGGAGGUCCUAACUGAUGUCUGAUGGGUUGUUUUAUGCCUAUCUAAUGGACGUAAUGACAAGAUCCAAGCUGUGAUCGACUCUGACAUGUUCCCUCACCUUAUGGAAGUUCCGGUGUAAUUGCAAUUUUCAGUAGCCAGUUUCCCUUCCGAUGUUCUAAUAUGGCAAAAGAUUGAAGUCCUAACUCCUGAAGACACUAUGAUUUCAGGUCAGUAUUGUUCUAAUAUGGAUUUAAAAGGCCCAUCCUUAUCUCUCCUAAAGCAACCUGUAGCAAUCUGGACAUCCUUCUAUUAAUACCUGCAAUAUUCUAGAAAUUUUUGAAAUCUUUGUUUCAUUAAGUCUAUUCAGAUGG